AACGAACGCUGGCGGCAGGCUUAACACAUGCAAGUCGAGCGCCCCGCAAGGGGAGCGGCAGACGGGUGAGUAACGCGUGGGAAUCUACCCAUCACUACGGAACAACUCCGGGAAACUGGAGCUAAUACCGUAUACGUCCUUCGGGAGAAAGAUUUAUCGGUGAUGGAUGAGCCCGCGUUGGAUUAGCUAGUUGGUGGGGUAAUGGCCUACCAAGGCGACGAUCCAUAGCUGGUCUGAGAGGAUGAUCAGCCACAUUGGGACUGAGACACGGCCCAAACUCCUACGGGAGGCAGCAGUGGGGAAUAUUGGACAAUGGGCGAAAGCCUGAUCCAGCCAUGUCGCGUGAGUGAUGAAGGCCCUAGGGUUGUAAAGCUCUUUCACCGGUGAAGAUAAUGACGGUAACCGGAGAAGAAGCCCCGGCUAACUUCGUGCCAGCCGCCGCUGUAAGAC
rnacentral:rRNA from 1 species